rnacentral:rRNA from 1 species
GCACCUACGGGGGGCAGCAGUAGGGAAUCUUCCACAAUGGGCGAAAGCCUGAUGGAGCAACGCCGCGUGGGUGAAGAAGGUCUUCGGAUCGUAAAACCCUGUUGUUAGAGAAGAAAGUGCGUGAGAGUAACUGUUCACGUUUCGACGGUAUCUAACCAGAAAGCCACGGCUAACUACGUGCCAGCAGCCGCGGUAAUACGUAGGUGGCAAGCGUUAUCCGGAUUUAUUGGGCGUAAAGGAAACGCAGGCUGGCUUUUAAAUCUGAUGUGAAAACCUUAGGCUUAACCGGAGAAGUGCAUUGGAAA